CUGCCCUUUGUACACACCGCCCGUCGCUACUACCGAUUGAAUGGCUCAGUGAGGCGUCCGGACUGGCCCAGAGAGGUGGGCAACUACCACUCAGGGCCGGAAAGCUCUCCAAACUCGGUCAUUUAGAGGAAGUAAAAGUCGUAACAAGGUCUCCGUUGGUGAACCAGCGGAGGGAUCAUUACCGAGUUUACAACUCCCAAACCCCUGUGAACAUACCACUUGUUGCCUCGGCGGAUCAGCCCGCUCCCGGUAAAACGGGACGGCCCGCCAGAGGACCCCUAAAACUCUGUUUCUAUAUGUAACUUCUGAGUAAAACCAUAAAUAAAUCAAAACUUUCAACAACGGAUCUCUUGGUUCUGGCAUCGAUGAAGAACGCAGCAAAAUGCGAUAAGUAAUGUGAAUUGCAGAAUUCAGUGAAUCAUCGAAUCUUUGAACGCACAUUGCGCCCGCCAGUAUUCUGGCGGGCAUGCCUGUUCGAGCGUCAUUUCAACCCUCAAGCACAGCUUGGUGUUGGGACUCGCGUUAAUUCGCGUUCCUCAAAUUGAUUGGCGGUCACGUCGAGCUUCCAUAGCGUAGUAGUAAAACCCUCGUUACUGGUAAUCGUCGCGGCCACGCCGUUAAACCCCAACUUCUGAAUGUUGACCUCGGAUCAGGUAGGAAUACCCGCUGAACUUAAG
rnacentral:rRNA from 1 species